rnacentral:rRNA from 1 species
CCUACGGGAGGCAGCAGUGAGGAAUAUUGGUCAAUGGACGGAAGUCUGAACCAGCCAUGCCGCGUGCAGGAAGACGGCUCUAUGAGUUGUAAACUGCUUUUGUACAAGGGUAAACCUGAACACGUGUAUUCAGCUGAAAGUACUGUACGAAUAAGGAUCGGCUAACUCCGUGCCAGCAGCCGCGGUAAUACGGAGGAUCCAAGCGUUAUCCGGAUUUAUUGGGUUUAAAGGGUGCGUAGGCGGAUUGAUAAGUUAGAGGUGAAAUGUCCGAGCUUAACUCGGGAACUGCCUCUAAUACUGUUGGUCUAGAGAGUAGAUGCGGUAGGCGGAAUGUAUGGUGUAGCGGUGAAAUGCUUAGAGAUCAUACAGAACACCGAUUGCGAAGGCAGCUUACCAAUCUAUAUCUGACGUUGAGGCACGAAAGCGUGGGGAGCAAACAGGAUUAGAUACCCGUGUAGUC